GCUACGGGUGGCAGCAGUGAGGAAUAUUGGUCAAUGGACGCAAGUCUGAACCAGCCAAGUAGCGUGCAGGAUGACGGCCCUCCGGGUUGUAAACUGCUUUUAGUUGGGAAUAAAAGGGGGCUCGUGAGCCCCGUAUUAUAUGUACCAUCAGAAAAAGGACCGGCUAAUUCCGUGCCAGCAGCCGCGGUAAUACGGAAGGUCCGGGCGUUAUCCGGAUUUAUUGGGUUUAAAGGGAGCGUAGGCCGGCUUGUAAGUCAGCUGUGAAAGUCCGCGGCUCAACCGUAAAAUUGCAAUUGAUACUGGCAGCCUUGAGUACAGUUGAGGUAGGCGGAAUUCGUGGUGUAGCGGUGAAAUGCUUAGAUAUCACGAAGAACUCCGAUUGCGAAGGCAGCCUACUAAACUGCCACUGACAUUGAUGCUCGAAAGUGUGGGUAUCAAACAGGAUUAGAUACCCUUGUAGUC
rnacentral:rRNA from 1 species